UAGAGUUUGAUCAUGGCUCAGAUUGAACGCUGGCGGCAGGCCUAACACAUGCAAGUCGAACGGUAGCACAGAGAGCUUGCUCUCGGGUGACGAGUGGCGGACGGGUGAGUAAUGUCUGGGAAACUGCCUGAUGGAGGGGGAUAACUACUGGAAACGGUAGCUAAUACCGCAUAACGUCUUCGGACCAAAGUGGGGGACCUUCGGGCCUCACACCAUCGGAUGUGCCCAGAUUAGAUUAGCUAGUAGGUGGGGUAAUGGCUCACCUAGGCGACGAUCCCUACGCUGGUCUGAGAGGAUGACCAGCCACACUGGAACUGAGACACGGUCCAGACUCCUACGGGAGGCAGCAGUGGGGAAUAUUGCACAAUGGGCGCAAGCCUGAUGCAGCCAUGCCGCGUGUAUGAAGAAGGCCUUCGGGUUGUAAAGUACUUUCAGCGGGGAGGAAGGCGAUGAGGUUAAUAACCUUAUUCGAUUGACGU
rnacentral:rRNA from 1 species